AGUGAACGCUGGCGGUAGGCCUAACACAUGCAAGUCGAACGGCAGCACAGUAAGAGCUUGCUCUUACGGGUGGCGAGUGGCGGACGGGUGAGGAAUACAUCGGAAUCUACUUUUUCGUGGGGGAUAACGUAGGGAAACUUACGCUAAUACCGCAUACGACCUACGGGUGAAAGCAGGGGAUCUUCGGACCUUGCGCGAUUGAAUGAGCCGAUGUCGGAUUAGCUAGUUGGCGGGGUAAAGGCCCACCAAGGCGACGAUCCGUAGCUGGUCUGAGAGGAUGAUCAGCCACACUGGAACUGAGACACGGUCCAGACUCCUACGGGAGGCAGCAGUGGGGAAUAUUGGACAAUGGGCGCAAGCCUGAUCCAGCCAUACCGCGUGGGUGAAGAAGGCCUUCGGGUUGUAAAGCCCUUUUGUUGGGAAAGAAAAGCAGCAGGUGAAUACCCCGCUGUUCUGACGGUACCCAAAGAAUAAGCACCGGCUAGCUUCGUG
rnacentral:rRNA from 1 species